GAUGAACGCUGACAGCAUGCUUAACACAUGCAAGUCAACUGUGGCGGACGGGUGAGUAACGCGUAAAGAAAUUGCCUCACAGCUAGGGACAACAUUUGGAAAAGGAUGCUAAUACCUGAUACUGUGAGAGAGCUUUGCGUCCCAUUAGCUAGUGGGUGAGGUAACGGCUCACCAAGGCGAUGAUGGGUAGCCGGCCGGAGCGGGUGAUCGGCCACAAGGGGACUGAGACACGGCCCUUACUCAUACGGGAGGCAGCAGUGGGGAAUAUGGGACAAUGGCCCAAAGUCUGAUGCAGCAAUUCUGUGUUCACGAUGAAGUUUUCGGAAUGUAAAGUGCUUUCAGUUGGGAAGCGGUACCAACAGAAGAAGUGACGGCUAAAGACGUGCCAGCAGCCGCGGUAAUAC
rnacentral:rRNA from 1 species